ACGGGUGAGGAACACGUGGGAACAUGCCCUUCGGUUCGGAAUAACUCAGGGAAACUUGAGCUAAUACCGGAUACGCCCUUAGGGGGAAAGAUUUAUUGCCGAAGGAUUGGCCCGCGUCCGAUUAGCUAGUUGGUGUGGUAAUGGCGCACCAAGGCGACGAUCGGUAGCUGGUCUGAGAGGAUGAUCAGCCACAUUGGGACUGAGACGCGGCCCAAACUCCUACGGGAGGCAGCAGUGGGGAAUAUUGGACAAUGGGCGCAAGCCUGAUCCAGCCAUGCCGCGUGAGUGAUGAAGGCCUUAGGGUUGUAAAGCUCUUUCGCCAGGGACGAUAAUGACGGUACCUGGAUAAGAAGCCCCGGCUAACUUCGUGCCAGCAGCCGCGGUAAUACGAAGGGGGCUAGCGUUGUUCGGAAUCACUGGGCGUAAAGCGCACGUAGGCGGAUUUUUAAGUCAGGGGUGAAAUCCCGAGGCUCAACCUCGGAACUGCCUUUGAUACUGGGAGUCUCGAGUCCGGGAGAGGUGAGUGGAACUGCGAGU
rnacentral:rRNA from 1 species